GAUUGAACGCUGGCGGCAUGCUUUACACAUGCAAGUCGAACGGCAGCACGGGGGGCAACCCUGGUGGCGAGUGGCGAACGGGGUGAGUAACACAUCGGAACGUGUCCAGUUGUGGGGGAUAACCCAUCGAAAGGUGGGCUAAUACCGCAUGAGCUGGCAACAGGAAAGCGGGGGACCCGCAAGGGCCUUGUGCGAUUGGAGCGGCCGAUGUCCGAUUAGCUAGUUGGUGGGGUAAAGGCCUACCAAGGCUUCGAUCGGUAGCCGGUCUGAGAGGAUGAUCAGCCACACUGGGACUGAGACACGGCCCA
rnacentral:rRNA from 1 species